CGGGAUAUAGCUCAGUGGUAGAGCAUUCGACUGCAGAUAGAGAGGUCCCUGGUUCAAAUCCGGGUGUUCCUU
rnacentral:tRNA from 1 species